GAUGAACGCUGGCGGCGUGCCUAAUACAUGCAAGUCGAGCGAAAAGACGAGGCACUUGCCCCUCUGACGUUAGCGGCGGACGGGUGAGUAACAAGUGGAUAACCUAACUAUAAGACUGGGAUAACUUCGGGAAACCGGAGCUCAUCCUGGAUACUAUAUUCAAACGCAUGGUUCUAUAGUGCUAAAUGGUUUUGCUGUCACUGAUUGAUGGCUCCGCGUCGCAUUAGCUACAUGGUAAGGUAACGGCUUACCAAGGAGACGAUGCGUAGACGACCUGAGAGAGUGAUCGACCACACUGGAACUGAGACGCGCUCCAGACUCCUACGGGAGGCACCAGUAGGGAUGCGGCCGCAAAGGGCGAAAGCCUUACUGAGCAACGCCGCGGGAGUGAUGAGGGUCCUCGGAUCGUAAUACGGUGUUAUUAGCGAAGAACAAAUGUGUAAGUAACGAGGCACGUCUUGACGGUACCUAAUCAGAAAGCCACAGCUAACUACGUG
rnacentral:rRNA from 1 species